AUGAUCGCUUCGGCAGCACAUAUACUAAAGUUGGAACGAUACAGAGAAGAGUAGCAUGGCCCUCGCACAAGGAUGACACACAAAUGCGUGAAGUAUCUUGUGGAUAA
rnacentral:snRNA from 1 species